UUUUUUUUUGCAAUAACAGAUGUUUGAGCAAUUUGAGAAAGCAAAUAGUGCAUGGAGCAUGGGUACCACAUCAGUGAACUGCAGUUCAGUUUAAGAAUGCAGCUGCAGAAACACACUCCUCAAUACAUCAGAUUCAAGUUUUUGGGGAUGAAAUGUGCCAUACAUGAGGUCCAAAACCCAGCUUUCUGGAACCAAGGACCUGCUUGCACCUGAGUGAGAUGCCCUUUCAAGCUGCUCUCCUGCAUAUUUUCCCUAUUAAAUCCCAGUAGAUUAUGGUUUAUAACAACAGUUAUGAGACAUGAGAUUGGGAUGCAGCUGGGACAUAUGCUUAGACACAGAAACUGAGAUUUAUUUCCAUGUAAGCAGCUACCCUGAUAAUUUGCAAGUACAUCUUUCCUCCAAGGACCUGAAAGAACUUCACAAAUAUUGUUGGAGGCCCAGAAUGUUCUUGCACUUAAGUAAACUCCUUCUUAGAGAGGUUAAGUGAUUUAUUUGAGGUUUCUCAGUAAAUCAGAGGUAGAGGUAGGAAGUGAAACAAGAUCAUGACUGCAAAUGACAUCCUUUAACCUUUGGAGGUGCUACUGUGUAUGAAGGCCUGACCCCACCAGCCUCACUCAGAGGAGCAGUGUCUCUGAAGUUAAUGGGAUGACUGGCGUGAGAAAAGGGCUGCAAUAUUUGCCUCUUUAGGCCUUUCUCUGUGAAGUGUUUAAUAUUUCCCCAGAGGUAUGUUUGGCUUCACCUCCUACGGAGUGUCUUAUAGCAACAACAACCACAGCAACAGAAAAGUCAGUCCCAUUUUCUUCAUUUAGUGCUUCACAUCAGGAUCCAAGGCGAGCACUCUCUCUGGGCAGGCGCUAAGCCACGGGGACCUGAAGAGAGUUGGUGUUUCUUGGAAAUGGGUUUUGACUUCUCUGCUUUACUCCUUCACAGGGAAAGAAGAGAUUUUGGGAUACAGUAAGGACCUGCAUGUUUCUCAGCUGGUAAAAAAACAUAGUUCAUAUUUCUUCUCAGCAAAAUUUUGGCGCUACCCCAAAUUCAGCAAUCACAAAGACUAAUAUGUAAGAAAGACUGCACUAAAAAUAUAAUGUAAAAAUAUAUCUUUAAUAGAAUGAGACCAGAAUUCCCAAAUUCUUUCUUUUUCCUCUGCAGAAAAAAAAAAAUGGUUUGUGGCUACAAGCCACUUUUUGCCUAUUUAAAUCUCUGUGCUUCUUAUUCCACUUCUUUAACAGGCUUGAAAUGAAUGAAGAGGUAGCAGACGAGAGAGUGACAUAGGCAGUAAAUUAUAGGAGCGCAGCGUUUGGCACCCAUCCUUGGCAGGUGGCCCGGCCGUGCAAGCGCUGGGGUUGGCCCUUCCCGCGCUGUUGCUAAGCCCAAGGCCCAAUGGCGGCCAGGGCCCUCACGCCCACCCGCGCCCCGGCCGCAUCCCGCUAUUAGAAGCUUCUUUUCUCCCACUUGCUAAUAAUAAUAAUUAAAAUUAAAAAAAAUAAUAAUAAUAAAAAAAAAGAGACAAAAAAGUGUGUAGUUUAUGUAAGCAAGCCCUCCCGGCUCUCGCCAGGAGCUGAGCUGAGGGGAGCUGGGGAGUGCCAGCCCGUGCCCGGCUGGGAUGGAUGGGGCUCAGCGCUGGGCUCCGGUCGGACUCGUUCUGCACGGCCUCCCUCCGCUCCCACAGCCUCAAGGUAUAGGGCAGAAACAAAGGGAUUUUUCUCUCCCCCCCACCCUUCUCCUUUUUUAUUUUUUAAUAACUUUAUCAACUCUGAACCCCAGGAUGAUUUGUGUGUUUCAUACUCUCUCUGUGCUUUUACUCUCGGUUAGAACUUGGAUCCUUUCCAUUUCUCAGUUAAAAACUCUUUUUUUUCUUUUCUAUUUUUUUUUUUUUUCCCCACUCUCUUUCCCCCCAGUUGUUUGUGGUUUUGCUUGAAAGGGCAUUAUUAACUCCUUCACCUCCCAGCUGGAAAGGGCUCUCUUGGCUAAGCUAUUUUAUGUAUUUCUGGAGCAAAAGAAUAAAGUGCUGGAUUUCAAAAACACAGACUCAAAAAAGGGGAGCAGUGAUGGAAAAGAUUUUACGUUGAAACUGCUACUGUAGGAUAACCCCAGCUAGUCAAGCAGAGCUCCCAUUAUGGAUUUACAGGAGCCCUCACCACUUUUGCAAGGCACAGGAUGAGACCAUGCCAAGCUGGUGCUCAAAAGCAUCGAUUUAAGGGGCAGAAGGUGAGAGGUUUGGUAAAAGCAUGGCAGGAGGUGACAGUCCUGGCUGGUCCACUCCAUGCUGCUGCUGGACAGGGCUGGCACCCCUCCCUGGCACAGCAUGUGCACAAAGCCUUGCUUUUGGGUGAAAAACUGGGAAUUCUGGGCUUCCUUGCUGCCUAACUACAAAAAAAGGCAAAAGGUGCACUUUUGCACAGGGACUGUGUUCAGUGCCAUGUCACACCUCCCUGUGGCUGAGCAUGAAGUCCUCAACACACCAGGGACACACAUAAAUCGUGGGAAAAGCUGAGAAAUGCUCGCUGGAAGUUUUAAAACAUAGAGGAUUAAUUUCCCCUGUUGUCCAUACUAGAUGAGGGACUGGGAAGUUGGCAUUUAAACCAUUUUUUCCCCUUCCUCACUCCAGUUGCAGCUGCAGACAGUGGGUAUGGUCUCUCUCCCGUGGGGAGGCUGGGCUGGGUGCUCAUGUCCACACCUGCACUGCUCCAAGAGCUUUCCCAGCUGAAGUCCUGGAGCUUCGAGGGAAUGCUAGAAACAGAGAUGACUUCAAUAUUUGGCAGCUGAUAGGAUAAGUUAUCUUUUCCCUUUUAAAUAGAAUAUGUUAUGCAAGCAGGUUUUAUUAUAAUUACAUUAUUUCUGUAGAUUAGAAAAUAAUCUUCUUGGAACCAAUAUGCAAAUUUAGUAUUUCUUGCUAUUUGUGAAUUAAACAACACAGCAUUUCUUGUAUUCCUACUCAAAGCCCAUGAAAAAUCCCCUCUUAUAGUUGCACACCCUGUGGUAAUUAGCACUUAGUAUUUUUCCUUUUUAGACUUUAAAAAAAAGCAUUUUAAAACAAGUGCAUUUUUUUUCCAGGUUUCUCCCCAGUAUGAUUGCUGUUUCUGAAUGUUUCUAUGCAUGUUAGCAUGUAUGUUUGUUUUGCCUGUUAGUUCAGUUUUGUAGAACAAAUGGAGAAAACGAAAAUAUAGAUUUUUAACCGCAACAAGAUUCCCUGCAGACAGGAUUUUUUCUGUACAGCUAUAGAAAUGCAGCAGCUCAGAGGAAGAGCACAGCAUGUAAUUCUACAUACAUCACAGCCCUUUUUUAUUACUCUUACCACAGCAGCUGAAUGAAGAAUUACAAAAACCAUGUCCCUGAUUCUGUAAAGAUUUAAAAAAGAGGCUUAACUUUAGGCAUACAGGUAACUUCAAAGGGAGUUAAGUGAAACUAGAAGAUGUGAGUAUUUCAUGACAGAUGCAUGCAUUAGAGAAAAUGAUCUGUACAAAACUUCAUCCAGAAGUUCUGGAAUUAUGUUAAUUGACCCUGGAGAGCCAAACAAAAACUCGGUCGAAAUUAUUUUCAGAAUUUAAACCCAACACUUUUGCAAAACACAUCCCAGUGUAAUGGAUAUUGCUAUGAUUGCAUAUCCGCUGGUUUUCUAUAGGCAAAGGGUGAAAUCCCAGCACUGCAGAAGGGAGUGGGAGCACUGCCAUUGAUUUUACUGAUGCCAGAAUUUUGCCCAAAACACUAAUGCUUCCUCUGGCUCUGAGUUUUCUUCUACCAACUCUGACAUUGUUUUCUGCACCUCUGCUGUCACAUUGCAUGGGGUGCAAGAGCCCUUUAAAAUUAACAGUGGGCUUGAGCUGCAGAGGAUGGAUCAUUGAUCAAACCUCUGAAUGCAUCUGACAGAGUUUAAUCAGGUGUUUGAUUCCAGCCCUCUGCACAGACACCCCUCUUCCCACACUCUCAAUUUUGUUGGCACACCUGUUGUGACCCAGGUGGGCAAUUUUGUGCAUUUAGCAAAUCCCGGCCUGGGGGGGCAAACUAAGCAUCAAUUUUAUUUCCCCAUGAGGAGCAAGCUAUGUCAAGUACUGCACAUCACUUUAUGAUCAUGCUAAAGCCACUGCGACAACAAGCCACCUCAGCAAGCUGUCAUUUUAAUGUUUGAUCCGUUUUCUUUUCGUGUGUGUUUGCUCCACAUUUCAGUGAAGCCUCAUCUCCCCUGCCCACCGCCAUCGGCUACGAGGCUGCAGCAAAGCAUGUCACAUACAAUGAACCAGGAAAACUCCACACAAAACCUUCUGAUCACUGGCUUCCAGAGGAAAAUUCCCUCCUGGCCAGAAGGAGAGGAGGACAAGUGAGACAGUGAGGUGGCACCUGCAUGGGGGCAGCAUUCCAGCAGCCAGGAGCGUUAUCCUGGUGGUUUUCUGCGGGACAGGGAUGGGGUCCCCCCUCUGUGCCUCACUGCCACAGCUCUGCGGGAUGCCCCUGCCCGUUUAUCACUUCAAACCAAGCUGAACAGCUCCACUGUAAUACUGCAAAUUACAGGCCUUCUAGAGCAUAAUUUUAAAGGACUUAGACUUGUGUUGUCUUUUAGCUUUCUGUUCAUCUAGCUAGUUAAGGUUCUGAAGUCCUAAUCUAGUUCCCAUUAAGACAAAGAAAAGGAUUCCUUUCUCUGUGAAAUGUUAUACCCCAGGAAGCCAAAAACGUUGGUGUCUGCCUUAGACAUGUAUAUCUUACUGGCAUUAACAGCUCAACCUAUAGAUUUUUCUUCAUCAGUGGGGAAGUUUUAUUCUUAUCCCCAUUUUACAGGAUGAAAUCUCUUAUCCAGCAAAGUAUGUGAGCAUGUGCCAGUUUCAACAGAGCUGGUGGAACCUUUCCAGGAUAGACAGCAUUUGCCAAAAGUGCAAUUUGAAGUGGAAAACUAUUCACAAAUUCUGGUUGAAUGUAAUGCAGAGUUUUGUCAGAAAGAAAAUCAGGGGAAAUACUUUUCUCGGGGAAGUUUAAAUGUUUCAUUUCAGUAUUUUCAAAAUAAACUAUAUAAUUUUCACCUUUCUUAUACCACUUAGUUUUCAAAAUUAACCAUUUUACUUCAUUGCUGUUUUGAAAAUAAUCUGGUCAAUUGAAUGUUAGACUUCUCAGUAAAAGAGUGAAUUGUCGCUG